GACGAACGCUGGCGGCGUGCCUAAUACAUGCAAGUCGAGCGAGCGGCGGACGGGUGAGUAACACGUAAGGAACCUACCGAUAAGCGGGGGACAACAUCCGGAAACGGGUGCUAAUACCGCAUACUUAUCAAUGGCCUUACGGUGCAUUAGCUCGUGGGUGGGGUAACGGCCUACCACGGCAAUGAUGCAUAGCCGACCUGAGAGGGUAAUCGGCCCCACUGGGACUGAGACACGGCCCAGACUCCUACGGGAGGCAGCAGUAGGGAAUCUUCCGCAAUGGGCGCAAGCCUGACGGAGCAACGCCGCGUGAGUGAAGAAGGUUUUCGGAUCGUAAAGCUCUGUUGUUAGAGAAGCGGUAUCUUACCAGAAAGCCACGGCUAACUACGUGCCAGCAGCCGCGGUAAUUC
rnacentral:rRNA from 1 species